rnacentral:lncRNA from 1 species
GAACUCCAUGCUUGCAGAGUCAUCUUCAGAAUGAGUCAGCUCCGCUUGUCCCAGGCAGGAGACUCACGAGUUGAUGUGAAAUGCGGAUUCCCUAUGAGACGGAGGACAUUGCAUGUCUCAUCCCAUCACGACCGUGUGGGUCUCGUUAUUUCAUAAGAGAGGGGGAAAAUGUGAAUUGGAAUUUUAUUUCCUAAGUACUGUUCUUGGUUUCUGACCAGCUGAUCCCAAGUUUCACAUCCUUGUCUGUGAAGCUAAACUCAAUGCUGCUGUGUGGGAAGAAGAUUUGUAAAGAAAACUCUUAGUCUCAAAGGAAUCGCGAUAGGUGCAGGGGCCACUGCAGUGGGACUAGGCUCAACUCUGAGUGUAAGAAGAAAAACGGGAAUGUACAGCCACGGAGAGGGUGAGAACGGACGGAAAACUAUGAAGAGGCUACAUCAGGCCAGGGGGGUUCUUGCUAGAACCACUUGGUAGGAUUCGUGCCACAGGCAGGCCAGGUGAUAAGAUACC